rnacentral:rRNA from 1 species
GUGCACCAGGCGCGAAUCUUCCCCAAUGGGCGCAAGCCUGAGGGAGCGACGCCGCGUGGGGGAUGAAGGUCUUCGGAUCGUAAACCCCUGUUGCCCGGGACGAAGUUCUGACGGUACCGGGUGAGGAAGCUCCGGCUAACUACGUGCCAGCAGCCGCGGUAAUACGUAGGGAGCGAGCGUUGCUCGGAAUUAUUGGGCGUAAAGGGCGUGUAGGCGGCGAGGUAAGUCGAAUGUGAAAUCUCACGGCUCAACCGUGAAACUGCGUUCGAAACUACCCUGCUUGAGUACGGGAGAGGUGUACGGAAUUCCUGGUGUAGCGGUGGAAUGCGUAGAUAUCGGGAAGAACACCGGUGGCGAAGGCGGUACACUGGCCCAGUACUGACGCUGAGGCGCGAAAGCGUGGGGAGCAAACAGGAUUAGAUACCCGCGUAGU